rnacentral:rRNA from 1 species
UACGAAGGGGGCUAGCGUUGUUCGGAAUUACUGGGCGUAAAGGGUGCGUAGGCGGUUGUUUAAGUCUGUCGUGAAAUCCCCGGGCUCAACCUGGGAAUGGCGAUGGAUACUGGGCAGCUAGAGUGUGUCAGAGGAUGGUGGAAUUCCCGGUGUAGCGGUGAAAUGCGUAGAGAUCGGGAGGAACAUCAGUGGCGAAGGCGGCCAUCUGGGACAACACUGACGCUGAAGCACGAAAGCGUGGGGAGCAAACAGG